AUUGAACGCUGGCGGCAUGCCUUACACAUGCAAGUCGAACGGUAACAGGUCUUCGGAUGUUGACGAGUGGCGAACGGGUGAGUAAUACAUCGGAACGUGCCUAGUAGUGGGGGAUAACUACUCGAAAGAGUGGCUAAUACCGCAUGAGAUCUACGGAUGAAAGCAGGGGAUCGCAAGACCUUGUGCUACUAGAGCGGCCGAUGGCAGAUUAGGUAGUUGGUGGGAUAAAAGCUUACCAAGCCGACGAUCUGUAGCUGGUCUGAGAGGACGAUCAACCACACUGGGACUGAGACACGGCCCAGACUCCUACGGGAGGAAGCAGUGGGGAAUUUUGGACAAUGGGCGCAAGCCUGAUUCAGCAAUGCCGCGUGCAGGAUGAAGGCCUUCGGGUUGUAAACUGCUUUUGUACGGAACGAAAAGCCCUGGGUUAAUACCCUGGGGUCAUGACGGUACCGUAAGAAUAAGCACCGGCUAACUACGUGCCAGCAGCCGCCGUAACAC
rnacentral:rRNA from 1 species